GAUGAACGCUAGCGGGAGGCCUAACACAUGCAAGCCGAGCGGUAGAGUUUCUUCGGACACUUGAGAGCGGCGCACGGGUGCGUAACACGUGUGCAACCUACCUUUAUCUGGGGGAUAGCCUUUCGAAAGGAAGAUUAAUACCCCAUAAUAUAAUGAUUGGCAUCAAUUAUUAUUGAAAACUCCGGUGGAUAGAGAUGGGCACGCGCAAGAUUAGAUAGUUGGUGAGGUAACGGCUCACCAAGUCAAUGAUCUUUAGGGGUCCUGAGAGGGAGAUCCCCCACACUGGUACUGAGACACGGACCAGACUCCUACGGGAGGCAGCAGUGAGGAAUAUUGGACAAUGGGUGAGAGCCUGAUCCAGCCAUCCCGCGUGAAGGAUGACGGUCCUAUGGAUUGUAAACUUCUUUUGUACAGGGAUAAACCUACCCUCGUGAGGGUAGCUGAAGGUACUGUACGAAUAAGCACCGGCUAACUCCGUGC
rnacentral:rRNA from 1 species